rnacentral:rRNA from 1 species
CCCAGACUCCUACGGGAGGCAGCAGUGGGGAAUCUUCCGCAAUGGGCGCAAGCCUGACGGAGCAAUGCCGCGUGAACGAAGAAGGUCUUCGGAUUGUAAAGUUCUGUCCUUAUCGAAGAGAGGGUAUAGAGUGAAAAAUGAUAUACUAGGACGGUAGAUGAGGAGGAAGCCCCGGCUAACUACGUGCCAGCAGCCGCGGUAAUACGUAGGGGGCGAGCGUUGUCCGGAAUCACUGGGCGUAAAGGGCGCGUAGGCGGGAUGGCAAGUCAGAUGUGAAAUCCAAGGGCUCAACCCUUGAACUGCAUUUGAAACUGUCGUUCUUGAGUACUGGAGAGGUUGACGGAAUUCCUAGUGUAGCGGUGAAAUGCGUAGAUAUUAGGAGGAACACCAGUGGCGAAGGCGGUCAACUGGACAGCAACUGACGCUGAGGCGCGAAAGCGUGGGGAGCAAACAGGAUUAGAUACCCGAGUAA